AUACAUGCAGUCGAGCGGACUGAUGGGAGCUUGCUCCCUGAAGUCAGCGGCGGACGGGUGAGUAACACGUGGGUAACCUGCCUGUAAGACUGGGAUAACUCCGGGAAACCGGGGCUAAUACCGGAUAGUUCUUUUCCUCGCAUGAGGAAAAGUGGAAAGGCGGCUUCGGCUGCCACUUACAGAUGGACCCGCGGCGCAUUAGCUAGUUGGUGAGGUAACGGCUCACCAAGGCAACGAUGCGUAGCCGACCUGAGAGGGUGAUCGGCCACACUGGGACUGAGACACGGCCCAGACUCCUACGGGAGGCAGCAGUAGGGAAUCUUCCGCAAUGGACGAAAGUCUGACGGAGCAACGCCGCGUGAGUGAUGAAGGUUUUCGGAUCGUAAAGCUCUGUUGUUAGGGAAGAACAAGUGCCGUUCGAAUAGGGCGGCACCUUGACGGUACCUAACCAGAAAGCCACGGCUAACUACGUGCCAGCAGCCGCGGUAUACGUAGUGGCAAGCGUUGUCCGGAUUAUUGGGCGUAAAGCGCGCGCAGGCGGUCUCUUAAGUCUGAUGUGAAAGCCACGGCUCACCGUGGAGGGUCAUGGAAACUGGGGACUUGAGUACAGAAAGAAGU
rnacentral:rRNA from 1 species